rnacentral:lncRNA from 1 species
GUAAAAAUACAUGUAGAUUAAUUUUUGUUGAUAAUAUUGUUGAAUAUAAAAUAUUAAUAUCUCGUUCUUUGUUUUUUUUUUUUUUUGAGAGAGAUAGGUGGCACGCUACCCGUUUUGUUUAUUUUAUUUAAAAAUAAACUUAGCUGGAAAUGUGAAUCAACUAGGAUUCGAACUUGGAAUCUCAAGUACCAAUCACCAAGCCCUUUGCCACUUGCUCUAAAGAUUUUUGUUAGCUUAAAUGGUUGGACAAAAAAGGGAGGUUGUUUCACCUAAUUUAACUAUUAAAAAAUUUUGAGUC